rnacentral:rRNA from 1 species
AGUGAACGCUGGCGGUAGGCCUAACACAUGCAAGUCGAACGGCAGCACAGUAAGAGCUUGCUCUUACGGGUGGCGAGUGGCGGACGGGUGAGGAAUACAUCGGAAUCUACUUUUUCGUGGGGGAUAACGUAGGGAAACUUACGCUAAUACCGCAUACGACCUACGGGUGAAAGCAGGGGAUCUUCGGACCUUGCGCGAUUGAAUGAGCCGAUGUCGGGUUAGCUAGUUGGGGGGGUAAAGGCCCACCAAGGCGACGAUCCGUAGCUGGUCUGAGAGGAUGAUCAGCCACACUGGAACUGAGACACGGUCCAGACUCCUACGGGAGGCAGCAGUGGGGAAUAUUGGACAAUGGGCGCAAGCCUGAUCCAGCCAUACCGCGUGGGUGAAGAAGGCCUUCGGGUUGUAAAGCCCUUUUGUUGGGAAAGAAAAGCAGCAGGUUAAUACCCCGCUGUUCUGACGGUACCCAAAGAAUAAGCACCGGCUAACUUCGUG